rnacentral:rRNA from 1 species
UACGUAGGGGGCUAGCGUUGUCCGGAUUUAUUGGGCGUAAAGAGCGUGUAGGCGGCCAGGUAGGUCCGCUGUGAAAGUCCGAGGCUCAACCUCGGAAUGUCGGCGGAAACCCUCUGGCUAGAGUCCGGAAGAGGAGAGUGGAAUUCCCGGUGUAGCGGUGAAAUGCGCAGAUAUCUGGAGGAACACCGGUGGCGAAGGCGGCAUCCUGGACCAACACUGACACUGAGGAGCGAAAGCCAGGGGAGCAAACGGG